rnacentral:rRNA from 1 species
CAUUGUAAAAGGAAAAAGUGUUGACUCUCUCAGGACGAACGCUGGCGGCGUGCCUAAUACAUGCAAGUCGUACGCUUCUUUUUCCACCGGAGCUUGCUCCACCGGAAAAAGAGGAGUGGCGAACGGGUGAGUAACACGUGGGUAACCUGCCCAUCAGAAGGGGAUAACACUUGGAAACAGGUGCUAAUACCGUAUAACAAUCGAAACCGCAUGGUUUUGAUUUGAAAGGCGCUUUCGGGUGUCGCUGAUGGAUGGACCCGCGGUGCAUUAGCUAGUUGGUGAGGUAACGGCUCACCAAGGCCACGAUGCAUAGCCGACCUGAGAGGGUGAUCGGCCACAUUGGGACUGAGACACGGCCCAAACUCCUACGGGAGGCAGCAGUAGGGAAUCUUCGGCAAUGGACGAAAGUCUGACCGAGCAACGCCGCGUGAGUGAAGAAGGUUUUCGGAUCGUAAAACUCUGUUGUUAGAGAAGAAUAAGGAUGAGAGUAACUGUUCAUCCCUUGACGGUAUCUAACCAGAAAGCCACGGCUAACUACGUGCCAGCAGCCGCGGUAAUACGUAGGUGGCAAGCGUUGUCCGGAUUUAUUGGGCGUAAAGCGAGCGCAGGCGGUUUCUUAAGUCUGAUGUGAAAGCCCCCGGCUCAACCGGGGAGGGUCAUUGGAAACUGGGAGACUUGAGUGCAGAAGAGGAGAGUGGAAUUCCAUGUGUAGCGGUGAAAUGCGUAGAUAUAUGGAGGAACACCAGUGGCGAAGGCGGCUCUCUGGUCUGUAACUGACGCUGAGGCUCGAAAGCGUGGGGAGCAAACAGGAUUAGAUACCCUGGUAGUCCACGCCGUAAACGAUGAGUGCUAAGUGUUGGAGGGUUUCCGCCCUUCAGUGCUGCAGCUAACGCAUAAGCACUCCGCCUGGAGACA